AAGUCGUAACAAGGUAACCGUAGGUGAACCUGCGGUUGGAUCAUUAAUAAAUUUAUCUUGAUGGCCAUCGGCUUUACCGCCUUUGGCUAAUCAUUUACCCAACUUUUGUGCACCAUAUUUUUGUAUUUUUGGGUAAGGUGAUUAAGCAAACUAUUCUUUUCCUUGGAGAAGAAAAAGGCCUUGCCCAAGUUUUUUAUUAAGCCCUUGUAGAAAAACUUGUCUUUAACCUAUUUUUUUAUUAUUAAAGAAAAAACAACUUUUGACAACGGAUCUCUAGGCUCUC
rnacentral:misc_RNA from 1 species